UCAAGUGGUCUGCCUGCUCAUUAUCCUGGAAUGUUUCCUCUUUGGAACUCAGAACAGGAGGAAGGCUGGGGCUGAAGGCCAUGAGGUCCGUCUUGGGCAAGCCCUCCCCAGAGCACACCCUCUGCCCGCUCUGCUGCGAGUAUGACCAGCUCCCCACUGCACUCGAGCACACCAGCCUGGGCUUCGCAGGCCCGCAAGUGCCCUCAGUGCGCACCGCCGAGCAGCGCAGCGCCGUGUACAGCAGCAGCGUGAGCACCAACAGGCUGGACACCGCACAGAUGGCGAUGAUCAAGUAUACAUUGACGUCCACUAGCGUCACUUCCGGGCUUGUGUCUCCAGUCAGUGCCCGCAACGAGGACUUUGGAGUCUGACCAUUCUCCACCAGCGACACCAGAAAGGUGGCGGUGGUGGUCAGCACAGGCUCGCCAUGAUCCUUCACCAACACCAACAGGCGCUGGCGCGGUGCAUCCAUCUCAUCCAGGGCGCGCGUCGUGCUGAUCUCGCCUGUGUAAAGCCCCACGCGGAACGGGCUGCGCUCGCCACCCGCAGAAACCUGCAGCUCAUAAGACAGCCACGCGUUGUAGCCAGAGUCAGCGUCCACGGCGCGCACCUUCGCCACCACGUGGCCGGCACCCACUGACCGCGACACCAGCUCGCUCACCGCACCACCGGUCUGGGGCCCCAGCAGCGCGGGCGCAUUGUCGUUCUCAUCCAGCACGAACACCUGCAGAGUCACGUUGCUGCCCAGGGCAGGCACCCCAGAGUCGCGCGCACUCACCUGGAACUGCAGCAGCUCCAGCUCCUCGUGGUCCAGCGGCUGCAGCGCGAACACCUUGCCGCUCUCCGCGUGCACAGACACGUAGCUCGACAGCGCGCGCUCGCCCACCCGCCGCUCCACCAGCGAGUAGGACACCAGCGCGUUCUCCUGCGCGUCCGCGUCGCGCGCGCACACCGUGAAGAUGUAGGCGCCCGGCGGGUUGUUCUCCUUCACGAACACCGUGUACUCGGGCUGCGCGAACAGGGGCGCGUUGUCGUUCACGUCGGCCACCUCCACGGACACGGUGGCCGAGGCCCACAGCGAAGGUGAACCCCCAUCUCUCGCGAUCACUACCAACUCGUAUGCUGAUAUGCUCUCGCGGUCCAAGGUGCUGUCCAGAACCAGCGAAUAAUAAUUCUUAAAGGUGGACACCAGCUUGAAGGGGACGCGGGGCGUCAGGGUGCAGGUCACCUUUCCGUUGACACCAGAGUCACGGUCGGACACGCUAAGCAGGGCGAUGACGGCGUUAGGUUGAGUGUCCUCUUUUACAGGCAGUGACAGAGAAGUAAUAGUUAUCUCCGGGGCAUUAUCAUUUAUGUCUACCACUUCCACCAAAAGGGUACAAUGACCCGUCAUUGGAAUAUUACCUUUGUCAACUGCCUCCACGGAUAUUUCAUAAAAUUUAUUUUCUUCGAAAUCCAGUUUAUCUUUUGUCCUAAUUUCUCCACUCUUGGGAUCUAUGUUAAAGGCAUAUAACACUGCAGGAGAUAGGGGCCUUCUAAAGGAGUAGACUAUAUCUCCAUUUGUACCAUCAUCAGGGUCUGUAGCAUUUAGUUUGAUCACCAAUGUUCCAUUAAGUGCGUUCUCUAAUACUUUAACUUUAUAAAGGAAUUGAUCAAAUUCUGGGGCAUUGUCAUUUACAUCCAGAAUCCUGAUCAGCAGCUGAACAGUACCGGUUAGCUCGGGUUUACCUCCAUCACUGGCUGUCAGUAAUAAACUAUGUUCCUGAAUUUGCUCUCUGUCUAAAGUUUUCCUUAAGACAAGUGACAAUAAAGACAUUUGUUCACGAUUCCUUUGUGUGUCCAAAGUGAAAUAAUCGUUGUGAUCCAGUCGGUAGGUCAAUGCCGAAUUUACACCAAUAUCUGCAUCUGAUGCGCCAUCUAGUGGAAAUCUAGAGUCUACAGGUCUAGAUUCUGCAAUAAUUAUACUUUUGUUAGUUUCGGGAAACACAGGCGGAUUGUCGUUAAUGUCCUUCACCUCCACCUCCACGUGGAAAACCUGCAGCGGUCUGUCCACGAUCACCUCCAGGUGGAUGCUGCACUCCGCGCUCCGCCCGCACAGCUCCUCCCGGUCGAUCCGAGAAUUCACAAACAAAAUGCCAUUCUGCAGAUUUACCUCCAGAAGCUCCCCGCGCUCCUUGGACGCCACCCGGAACAGGCGCGGCACCAGCUCCGUCAGCUCCAGCCCCAGGUCCUGCGCGAUGCGGCCCACGAAGGUGCCGUGUUUGGCCUCCUCGGGGACCGAGUAGUGCAGCUGGCCGCUCCCCGCCUGCCAGGCUGCGAGGAGCAGCAGCGAGAGCAGCAGAGGCCAGGUGCCUGGGCCUCCUUUCCAGUGCGGAAGAAUUCGAAACGGAGUUUUUACGAUCUGGCAAAUUUCAUAGAGGAAGGAAGGAUCAGUGGCUUUCUUGGCAAAAACGUUCUCAGUGAAGAGCGACACCAUGCGCAUAAAUGUUUACACAUUAUUUAGACUCCUGAUGAUUUAAAGCCUAUUGAAAUUGGUUGAACAGUGGUCCUUCAAAAGAUACACCCACAUUUAAGACUCAGAAUUUCUCAAUAUUAUUUUACAAAUGUUAUGAAAAAACAAUAUCUUGAAAUCAGUUUAUCCUGGAAUAUUCAGCAAGCUAGAAGUGCAAUCACAUGUGCCCAUGAAAAAUAAACGCACAGAGAAGACAUGGGGAAGAUAAGGUGAUGUCAUGACCAUAUAUUGGAGAGGUAUAAUCACAAGCCAGGAAACACUAAUAACCACCAGAAACUGAAAGAAGCACAGAACAGAUUCUACACUGGAGCCUGGAGAAGGAGAAGAGCCAUAGUAACAUCUUGAUUUUGAAUUUCUGUCCCCCAAAACCAGGAAAGAAUAAAUUUUUUUUGUCUUAUAUAACCCUUUAAGUGUCACUUGUUCUAGCAGGCCAAGAAACUAACACAAUCACUCACCUACAUGUUUUAAAACAUCUUAUUUCUCAUUUUUAAAUGUUUCUUGGUGAAUGUAUCAUUUCAUGGAUUUAAAUUUUUUAUGUAAUGAAAUUACUCCAAAAUUUAUACUAUAAUUUCCUGAGUUGCAGGCCAAAUUUCUGGUCACAAUGGUAUUCUUCUAGAACCUUAAAAGAAACAUUUUCUCAAAUAUUUAAUUUCCAACCUGAACAAACAUGCAUGAAUUGUUUCUUCAGUUCUGCUCCACAUUUUGCAUAAGGCCAUCUUGUUCUUCCAGUUGACCAAACCAAAGGAAUGAGUGUCAACCAAGAACUUUCUUUUGUUUGCAUUGAGUCAGUCACCGUCUGGCUGCUUCCUUCUUGUUAAUACCUCUUGUAUGUGAAUAUUGCAAUCCAUUUCUACUGCCAUAAUGUAAGUCUCUAUCAGCUGAUACUUAAAUUGUUGUAAAAGACCCUUUCCCUAGCUUUCUUGCCUUAGAAUCUCCUCUGCUUUAAUCCUUAUAGUACACAGUCACCAGAGAAAACUUGGCUUGUUUAUUCAUACUCAUCUCUUCGUCUGUAAUAUUUUUUAAUUGAAUGUUAUCUAUACUCACUCUUGACUAAAACAUUGCCUAACCUCUUGACUUUACUCCACUUCUAAAAUGGAACUUUUAUGGUCUGUGUCUGGAUGGCCCUUCAAAGCCUCAUGCAGUCAUGGGGCAGGGUCCUAGUGUUUGUGACUGAUUCAUAAUCCAAUGCUGGGGUUAUGGGUGUGAAUGAUACACCCACACUAGGGUGGGUAACCUACAUACAAUAUAAGGGACAGAAAGAGUCUUUGGUCAAGCUCCUCCUUUUAGCUCUUGUUGCUUUUGCUAUUUUUCACCGCCAUGAACUGUUGCUCCUCUGCCACAUGCCAUGCUCCCUUAGAGCCAGUCAUGAAACCUCCACAAACUGUGAGAUAAAUAAACCUUUCCUUCCUUAAUUUUUGGCAUUGGGUAUUUUGUCUCAGCAUCAAGAGAAAAGUAACCAACACAGAACUGUUCUGGUAUUCGUUUCAUUAGCAUAUACAUAUUGAAAAUUUUUCAGAUCCACAACUAAAAGGUAGGAAAAUAGAAAAAAGGUUAAAAAUGUAAUGUCUUCUAUACCAAGCAGAGGGAUGUAAGAUUCUAUUUUCUGAUCAAAGAGAAGUCUCUAAAUAUUUUUAAAAUGAAAGUCAUGAGAUUUUACAUAUUUUACAAAACUGAUCUGAUAAAAGGUACAGAGCAAUAAUGUACCAUAACUGUUUGAGAUUCUCUGAAA